rnacentral:rRNA from 1 species
UGAGGAAUAUUGGUCAAUGGGCGCAAGCCUGAACCAGCCAUCCCGCGUGAAGGAUGAAUGUACUAUGUAUUGUAAACUUCUUUUCUGUCCCAAGAACGUGCGCUACGUGUAGCGCAGUGACGGUAGGGCAGGAAUAAGCAUCGGCUAACUCCGUGCCAGCAGCCGCGGUAAUACGGAGGAUGCGAGCGUUAUCCGGAUUCAUUGGGUUUAAAGGGUGCGUAGGCGGUUUUUUAAGUCAGUGGUGAAAUCCUGCGGCUCAACCGUAGAACCGCCAUUGAUACUGAAAGACUUGAAUUUGGUUGAGGUAGGCGGAAUGAGUAGUGUAGCGGUGAAAUGCUUAGAUAUUACUCAGAACACCGAUUGCGAAGGCAGCUUACCAAGCCAACAUUGACGCUGAGGC